AACGAACGUUAGCGGCAGGCUUAACACAUGCAAGUCGAGCGGGGUGAUGGUGCUUGCACUAUCACUUAGCGGCGGACGGGUGAGUAAUGCUUAGGAAUCUGCCUAUUAGUGGGGGACAACAUCUUGAAAGGGAUGCUAAUACCGCAUACGUCCUACGGGAGAAAGCAGGGGAUCACUUGUGACCUUGCGCUAAUAGAUGAGCCUAAGUCGGAUUAGCUAGUUGGUGGGGUAAAGGCCUACCAAGGCGACGAUCUGUAGCGGGUCUGAGAGGAUGAUCCGCCACACUGGGACUAAGACACGGCCCAGACGCCUACGGGAGGCAGCAGUGGGGAAUAUUGGAAAAUGGGGGGAACCCUGAUCCAGCCAGGCCGCGUGUGUGAAGAAGGCCUUAUGGUUGUAAAGCACUUUAAGCGAGGAGGAGGCUCUUUUGGUUAAUACCCAAGAUGAGUGGACGUUACUCGCAGAGUAAGCACCGGCUAACUCUGUGCCAGCCGCCGCCGUAAUAC
rnacentral:rRNA from 1 species